rfam:Flavobacteriaceae bacterium TMED42 16321, whole genome shotgun sequence.
UAAGGUGGUUAUAGCGAUGGGGCUCACCUCUUCCCUUUCCGAACAGAGAAGUUAAGCCCAUCAGCGCAGAUGGUACUGCCACUUGGUGGGAGAGUAUGUCACUGCCUUCU